rnacentral:rRNA from 1 species
UAGGGAAUCUUCGGCAAUGGGGGCAACCCUGACCGAGCAACGCCGCGUGAGUGAAGAAGGUCUUCGGAUCGUAAAGCUCUGUUGUAAGAGAAGAACGUGUGUGAGAGUGGAAAGUUCACACAGUGACGGUAACUUACCAGAAAGGGACGGCUAACUACGUGCCAA